GACGAACGCUGGCGGCGUGCUUAACACAUGCAAGUCGAACGGAAAGGCCUUUUCGGAGGUACUCGAGUGGCGAACGGGUGAGUAACACGUGGGUGAUCUUCCCUGCACUCUGGGAUAAGCCUGGGCAACUGGGUCUAAUACCGGAUAGGACCGCACUUUAGUGUGUGUGGUGGAAAGUUUUUUCGGUGUAGGAUGAGCCCGCGGCCGAUCAGCUUGUUGGUGGGGUACUGGCCUACCAAGGCGGCGACGUGUAGCCGGACUGGGAGGUUGGUCGGCCACAUUGGGACUGAGAUACGGCCCAGACUCCUACGGGAGGCAGCAGUGGGGAAGAUUGCACAAUGGGCGCAAGCCUGAUGCAGCGACGCCGCGGGGGGGAUGACGGCCUUCGGGUUGUAAACUCCUUUCGCCAGGGACGAAGCGGUUUGUGACGGUACCUGGAGAAGAAGCACCGGCUAACUACGUG
rnacentral:rRNA from 1 species